rnacentral:rRNA from 1 species
UACGUAGGGGGCAAGCGUUGUCCGGAAUCAUUGGGCGUAAAGCGAGCGUAGGCGGCCCGAUAAGUCUGCUGUAAAAGUCAACGGCUCAACCGUUGAAAGCCGGUGGAUACUGUCGGGCUAGAGUUCGGAAGAGGCAAGUGGAAUUCCUGGUGUAGCGGUGGAAUGCGCAGAUAUCAGGAGGAACACCUAUAGCGAAGGCAGCUUGCUGGGACGGUAUUGACGCUGAGACGCGAAAGCGUGGGGAGCAAACAGG